AUUGAACGCUGGCGGCAGGCCUAACACAUGCAAGUCGAGCGAGCGGCGGACGGGUGAGUAAUGUCUGGGAAACUGCCUGAUGGAGGGGGAUAACUACUGGAAACGGUAGCUAAUACCGCAUACCAUCAGAUGUGCCCAGAUGGGAUUAGCUAGUAGGUGGGGUAACGGCUCACCUGGGCGACCAUCCCUAGCUGGUCUGAGAGGAUGACCAGCCACACUGGAACUGAGACACGGGCCAGACUCUUACGGGAGGCAGCAGUGGGGAAUAGUGCACAAUGGGCGAAAGCCUGAAGAAGCCACGCCGCGGGUGUGAAGAAGGCCUUCGGGUUGUAAAGCACUUUCAGCGGGGAGGCGGUACCUGCAGAAGAAGCACCGGCUAACUCCGUGCCAGCAGCCGCGGUAAUAC
rnacentral:rRNA from 1 species